GAUGAACGCUGGCGGCGUGCUUAACACAUGCAAGUCGAACGGUGACACGCCUUCCUUUUUGGUCGGUGGGGAUGCGUGGAGGACGGGUGAGUAAGAGGUGAGUAACCUGCUCCCUCCUUCAGGAUAACCGGAUGAAAGAGCGGAUAAUACGGGAUAUUCUGAGCCUGUCGCAUGAUGGGUCUGGGAAGGAUAUUGUUUCGGUUGGGGAUGGGCUCGCGGCGGAUUAGCUUGUUGGUGGGGUAAUGGCCUACCAAGGCGAUGAUGCGUAGCCGCCCUGAGAGGAGGAUCGGCGAUCCCGGAGCUGAGAAAAGGCCGAGAAUCCUCCGGCAGGAAGCAGUAGGGAAUAUUAUGCAAUGGGCGGAAGCAUGAUGAAGCAACGCCGCGUGGGGGAGGAAGGACUCCGGCUGGUAAAGAACUUUUGUCGGGAAUGAAGCAGGCCUGCCUCAUUUGUGGGUGUGUUGACGGUAGCUGAAUAAGAAGCGCCGGCUAACUACGUG
rnacentral:rRNA from 1 species